rnacentral:rRNA from 1 species
GACGAACGCUGGCGGCGUGCUUAAUACAUGCAAGUGGGGCGACGAACCAGGCUUCGGCCUGGGGCAAAGCCGCGAACGGGGUGAGUAACACGUGGGCAACCUGCCCCGAUGACCGGGACAACCCGAGGGAAACUCGGGCUAAUACCGGAUGUGCUGUCCCACAUCAGUGGGCACAGGAAAGGAAGCUUCGGCCUCCGCAUCGGGAUGGGCCCGCGGCCCAUUAGCUUGUUGGUGGGGUGAUGGCCUACCAAGGCGACGACGGGUAGCCGGCCUGAGAGGGCGACCGGCCACACUGGGACUGAGACACGGCCCAGACUCCUACGGGAGGCAGCAGUGGGGAAUCUUGCGCAAUGGGCGAAAGCCUGACGCAGCGACGCCGCGUGAGGGAUGACGGCCUGGUGU